GUGGGGAAUAUUGGACAAUGGGCGAAAGCCUGAUCCAGCCAUGCCGCGUGUGUGAAGAAGGCCUUUUGGUUGUAAAGCACUUUAAGUGGGGAGGAGGCUUACCUGGUUAAUACCUGGGCUAAGUGGACGUUACCCACAGAAUAAGCACCGGCUAACUCUGUGCCAGCAGCCGCGGUAAUACAGAGGGUGCGAGCGUUAAUCGGAUUUACUGGGCGUAAAGCGCGCGUAGGUGGUUAAUUAAGUCAAAUGUGAAAUCCCCGAGCUUAACUUGGGAAUUGCAUUCGAUACUGGUUAGCUAGAGUAUGGGAGAGGAUGGUAGAAUUCCAGGUGUAGCGGUGAAAUGCGUAGAGAUCUGGAGGAAUACCGAUGGCGAAGGCAGCCAUCUGGCCUAAUACUGACACUGAGGUGCGAAAGCAUGGGGAGCAAACAGGAUUAGAAACCCGUGUAGUCC
rnacentral:rRNA from 1 species